rnacentral:misc_RNA from 1 species
GCUUGUCUUAAAUUGAAUAUUUGAUGGAUGAACUUGCCUCAGUUGUGUAACUUGAAUUACCAUGUUGAUAGUCCAUGAGAUGUGAGUAUUGAGUUAUUUUGGAACAACACAUUGAUGCACUUACAAUAAGAGAUUUAAAGUUAAAUAUCAUAUCGGGCACCAUGUACCUCUUUUGAUUCUAUUAGAUUGAGUUGCAUGGGUUUCAUUAUAUUCAUCUCUACU